ACGUAGCGCCGCCAUUUUGAAACUCGAGUUCGAGGCAGUUGUUCCAGAGACUUCCUUACUUAUGGAUCUGCACAUUGUUUGAUAGCGAGGGAAAAUCCGGAACCAGGACAAUCCAACUCGACGACCACCAAUCUAUUACAUCGUGACGUCGACCAGGGAUUAAUCCGGCAUCAUCUGGAUAUCUUUUUUGACUGUGCACUUUCCUGCACAAUGAUAACCAGAAGAAGAGGCCAUUGCAACACUGCAUUGAUGUCCCUGGAGGUUGAAGUGAGCAGUGCUGUGAAUACAAUAGAAGAUCUUUCAAGUUUUCCUGAGGAGUUCCCGGCUCGUGACAUCGAAAAGACGGGAAUGGAAUUGGAAGACAUUUUGGGAAUGGAAGACUUCGAAUGGAAUCUCGAGCCAACCUCGCCAAUCUUCGAUGUGGAGCUCGCUGAUCUUUACAGCGGCGAAAGUCAAAAUUGUGGAGCCAAAGUCACAAUUGCUUCUCCAGAUAGUGUGUCAUCUACUUUAAAGAUCAGGAACAAGCAACGGCAAGCAAACCAAGUGAUCAACAAAAAUGCAAUCGCCGCUCGGUUGAAUCGUCUCAAAAAGAAAGAGUAUGUUGACAGCCUAGAAAAGCAGGUGGGCAUCAUGUCUACGGAAAACAGCACACUAAAAACAGAAAACUCUCAUCUGACCAAAAGAGUGGAGGAAUUGGAAGAUGAGACCAGGGCGCCGACUCAAACGAUCACGACUACGCUCUGCCACGGAAACGUGUGAAAGUGGAGGCCAAAGAGACAUCCGGUGGCGUGUGCCUCCACGUGGACAAGAACCAUGUCUCAGUGGAGUUCUGCACUAAGUGUGCAGCCAGUGCGAGCACAUCGCUUAAAAUUUUCUUCUAGGUAAUGGUUGAUCUACCGUGAGGGAUGAAUGGAAUUCUGAACACCUUAACCUGCUUGACUCCAUGUGGAUUCUUCUGGUGGAGUUUGAAGAGACUGGACAAGCUGCUGCCAACAUGGCCUGCCCCCCCCUUUUUUUUUUUUUUCGUUUUUGGUUUUUGAGGUAGUAUCGGUAACAAUGGUAUAUGUCAUUUUCUUGCCUAUUCACCUCAGCUUUUCUAGUCAAGAUUUACUGGGUUUUGAGAGUUCAAAUGCAUCACUCUUGUGACUUUCGUUGUUGUGGUAAUUGAAUUGCAAUAUAGCAUCUAGAAUCAGUUUUGGUGACUACUUGCCAUCCAUUGUAAAAAUGUGUACAUAAUUGGAUCCUGUGCUCUUUGAGGUAAUUGACCUCUGACAAAAGAUGAACAAAUAAAUGAUAUUUUAACUUAUGUUUCAGUCGCAAAUAUUUACAUUGUUUUUUAUGUGUACUGUUGAUAUUAAUGCAUCUCUCUUUUUCUUUCUGAACAGCAAGCUCUCUCCCGAUAAAGAUCUUUCUUUUCCUCAACAUUUGGGUCGAGUCUGGUAAAGGUUGCAAGUAUAAGGCAUGCACUGAAAAAGGUCCUUAGAAAUGAUCUUUAUUAUAUUUUGGCCUUUUUUCAUUUGGGAAAAGAUGGAACAGUAUAAUGUGCUACUUAGUUCAUGAGUAAAUAGUUUUCAAACCAGUUAAAUUUACUUAGAUUUCGGUAAAGUAUUAACAAGUAUGACAUAAUCGGAUCAAAUAAGGACUUGUAAAAAUCUAAAAACGGAAUUGAAAAUAGAACAAAAAAUUCCCAUACAUCAAAUGUCUUUUAUUAUUAUUUUCUUCAUAUUUUUUUAACCUCUUACCCCAAGGAUGUCCAAACUAUGGCCCAUGGGCCAGUUGCCCAGUUUUUAUAGGCCUGCAGCAAAUUAGGAAAAUAUCACUGAAUAUGGCCAGCACAAUAAGCUUAACUUCAGCCUAUAUUCUAUUGCACCCCUCAAUUUUAACAUUAGAUGGCGUUAGUCACUUAAACACUGCCUAGCAAUUAGCUCAGGUUAAAAUCUGACAUGUAGACUGUAGAAUGUCAAUAUUUUGUGUCGCAUAUUUUUUAUAAUAAAAAAAAAAUAAUCCAAUGUGAUAAAUUGAGCUAUCAUGGUUGUGAUUUUCUUGACAUCCAGUCCAAUUUGAUUGGAGGGCUGGCAGACAUUCCAGUGAAAACUGGACGUUUAUCGUCAUCAGUGGUAGCCAACUAGUAAAAUGAUAAAUUUUAAAAACACAGUCUUUUAUUAUUAUUAUUAUUUUUUUUUUUUUACCUAAAUCCGAUUUCAAGGAUUUCAAGUUGGCCAUUGUAGCCUCAGAAAAGUUUGAACACCCCUUAAAUUUUUAAUUCCCUUCAAAUCAGGCAAUUGUGACGGCCGCUCCAGAAAUGUUUCUCAUUUCGUUAUUGUAUAGUAUUUUGAGGUGUGCUUAAGAUGUUUGUCCUUUGGAUAUCUUGAGGGUAUAAAACAGUCUUUAUAAAAAUAAAAAAUAUAAUAAAAAAGAGUAACCAAUAAUUUGAUUUUAAACCCUUAAAAUUCGCCUAAACUCUCAUAAAAGGUCUUAAAUACAAUUUGGAAAGGUCAAAAUCUUUUGAUCGAUUUUUGAGGACGUUUUAAUGUAACAACAAAGCGGAAAUACCUGUGCUGCCUGGUCAGAAUUUAUCGAACACAAGCAGGUUUUGCUGUGUGCGUGCAGUUUCGUGUUGACAGCUUAGUUAGUAUCAGAGGGGGGUAGAGUAGCCAAAAUUUUACUGAAGAGCAGCGUUACUUCAAAAUAUUAGUCAAGGAAAAGUAAAAGAAGUCGUCCAAAAAAUGUACUCAUGUACAAGUUAAGUAUUCAGUGAAAAGAAUACUCAAGUAAUGAGUAACAUUGUGAGUAACUGCUUACGUUUUUUUUUUUUUAAACAAUAGUAUUUUUUAAUUUUUUUAUGAGGACAGUUAUCUAUACGGACUGUAUUUAUAUUGAUACUGUACAAUAACCCAUUACAUAACCACAAUAAGCCAAAGAAAUGAUAAAAAAAAAAUAAUUCCGGCAAGAGGAAAAAACAGAAAUAAAGCAUUAUUCGUCCAAAGAGCAUGAGUGCCCCCUGGUGGAUAAAAUAGUUCCUUGUUUGAAUAGUGUACAGUUUCUUCAUAUUUACCAUUUUGAAAUUAAAAGGCUCACAUCUUCAGUUUUCCGUGGUCAAUCUGUGCCAAAUAAAAACUGGGAGAGUGGUUAAAAUCCGCGCUUCUGAGUCAUGUUGAGGGCAGCGUUCUGUAUCAAACAGUGCAUUUUUCACGGCGCUUUAACGACACAUGAUUGAACAGGUUGGCAUGAAGACUGAACGGCAAGCUUGCGUCUGAUUGGUAUAUUGGAGUCGUCAUUGGUGAAAUCGUUAGCGCUACCCCGGUAAUACACCAGGCACGUCUCUACUCUUGGCAUCGCUGGCAAAGGAAAAAAAAAUCUAAUAUGUAGAAUAAAGAGAAAAAAAUUUAACGACUGUUGUGUAGCCCAAAGUAGUGGAGUGAGAGUGGCGUUUUUUUCCUUCACAAAUCUACUCAAGUAAAAAGUAUAGCUUAGUAAAACUACUCUUAGAAGUACUUUUUUUCUCAAAAAGUUACUGUAGUAAAUGUAACAAUACAUGUAACACCUUACUACCCACCUCUGGUUAGCAAAGUCAUAGAGAAAACGUAAUAGAGAACUGAUUUCCAAUACAGUGAUUCCUCGCUACUUUGCGCUUCAAACUUCGCGCCCUCAGUCCAUUGCCGAAUUUUAUUUUAAUAAAUAAAUAAAUGCAGUAUGUUAUAGAGCUGUCCUGAGCCGAUCAUGCACUCUCGGUCCUGCGGCUUUUCUUAGACAGUGCACUGGAGGUGCUUCUUAAUAAAGUUAACGAUUAUUGACAGACAGUUAAGGAUUGAACUUGUCAGAGACGCUUCUAAGCCAAAACCUCAAAGCGCCGCAUGCGUCAACAUCGUUUAACUUGUUAAACAGUUACUGUGGUAACUCGUGUGUAAAUGAGCAGCUUGAGGGGAUUUGAGGACUCAAGCAUUUAAUAAAGACAAGCAUUUAAAAAUAUAUAUAUAUUUCAGUGGAUUGGGGUCUACUUUUUUCUUGUUUAAAAAUAAUUCGAUGGGAUAGUAACAUGUUUAAAACAUAAAAUUCUUACAUUUGAAGUGCUUAAAACUUAAAAUAUAUUUACAGUACACAAAAAUGAAUUAUAUUUGGCUGAAAAUAAUGUCAUAUGUAUCUCUUUCCAAUGAUGAAUCUGAAUAAAUACAUGAAACACAAAAUAUUUUGUUUUUUGGGGGGGUCACUACUCAUGGUUUUUCACUUAUGGGGGCGGGUUCUGGUACCCAUUAACCAUGUGAAACGAGGGAUCACUGUAGUUACAUACAUGGGGUUGGGGCAUGUUGUCGAAUUCCUCUCUUAAUAUCAAAUCUAGGACAAGUACCUUGACCUAAGGCUACUGUACUAUUAAUCCCUUUAUGGAGCAUUUCAAGAAUAUCCAUAAAUUUCUCCCCAAAACCAAAAUGAGCUAUUGUUUUUAUAAUAAAGGGGUGUUCUACCCAAUCAAAGGUUUUAUAGAAGUCCAGGAACAACAUAAAUCCAUUUCCUUGGACCAUUUGACUAUAAUCAAGUAAAUCCCAUACAAGCCUGAUAUUAUUAUGAAUUGAUCGUCUUUUUAAAAAAACAUUGAGAUUCGCCAAUUAUUUUAGAUAACCCUGUUUUCAGACUUUCUGCAACAGUCCCUGAGAAAAUUUUAUAAUCUGUAUUCAGCAGUGUGAUUGGUCUAAAAUUAUCUAGUAUUCUUUUAUCCUUACCAGGCUUUGGAAUCAAGGUGAUCAAACCCUAUUUCAUGGUAAACAUUAAUUCCUUUCCACACAUUCCUUAAAGGGUAUGUCAUGCCCUGGGAAAAUGUUAAUAUUCCAUCAUUUAUCCAUAAACGCAUGCCUUUUGUAUUCAGAUCAUGCCACUUCGUGUAAUUACACACAAGAAAAUAAGAGAAAUUUGGCUCGAUUGUCAAGCUAAAACGACCGGCGCCCGAGAUCUGGCAGAUUGUGUGCGUGACGUCACUACAAGUGAAGAGAGUGCCACCGGCCACUAAGGGGGCAGCGCCUGUCUGCAUCAAUAUAAUUCCUUCUAGUGAGGGGAGAAUUAGGGGUGUUUUGAGCUGUUUAUGCUGAUGCAUUGUGUUCGUCCUGCACAUAUUCCAGGUUCCCUCAUGAAGAAACACCCCUCGUUGUCAAUAAAAGAGAAUUCAGAAUUGACAGUGAGGGGUGUUUCUUCAACAAGAAAAAGGCUCAGUGCUUUAAUACUGAAUAGCGGCGAUGAUGGCAGACAAUUUCGUUUCUAGUUUCAGCGACGAAUCCGACGUAGAAGGACGUAACGAAUGUUCAUCUAAUGGUGACAAGGAGAGUUACGAAGCUUUAAUCGGUGUUUUAGGUUACCAAUUUGAGCCCAGACGAACGCCAAUGCAGCGUAAUGAAACAGUCAUUGAGGGGAGCAAUGACACUGAUGAAACAUCGGCAGCAGAUCGUGUGGGAAACCCCAUACACCGUGACUGCAAAAUAAAGGAAUGCAUAGAAUAAUUAUCAUUUAUUGCGCUAUCAUAGCUUUUCGCUCUGCCAACAGACACAAAUAUGAAUGGGAUCAGAGGAUUUGUUCUAUAUAUUUUACGAACGAUAAUUUAUACAUGUGUCCAGUCCUGUAUCCAAUGCGUGACAUUUUUUUAUUAUAAAAGAGUACUCACUCUAGCCGUUUCGAGCUUGGCUGCUCCCCUCCUUUGCUUAGCCUUAGCCUCCUUUGCCAGUCAUCGUCCUCUUUCUUGAUAUCUCGGGACAUUUAGGUGGCUGCGCGUGUAUGGUCGGCACCGCAUCUCCUUUGAGCAGCAAUCUUUUAGCAAAACCCGAUUUCUCUUGUCCAUAGUUCGAGAAGCUUUCAGGUGGAAAAUGCGCACCAUAGAAAACCGUGCCGGAGGCUGUGUCUAGAAAAUUAGCCCUCUUUGCACGGACGAACUUUACCCAUUGUCUGCGUAGUCCAGCUUUUUUUUUUCGCGUUCAGGAACUCAUGGAUACUAUAUUCCGAUAAAUAGCUAUUUGUACACCACAUAGCACAGCAGUUUUGAACCAUUCUAGUGAUGUUUUGGUCAAACCCGAACGCUACUCUCUAGUCGAUAAAAAAACAAUGGCACCUGGCUCCGCCUUGACUUUCAUUCACUUGUCGUGACGUCCCCGCCCCAUUCGGCUGUUUCCGGAACACUUUCGGAAAUGUUCGUCAUUUUCGAUCUAUUUUCGAUAAUUGCUCAUUAAUGUGAUUGAUUUUUUUGUUAACUUUAUCAAUAUUUGUUAUCUUGGCACAUAACUGUUCUAUUGAUGUCUCACACCCCCUUUGCCGCUACAUACCCUUUAAUUGCUUCAAACAACAAAGUUCUAAUAUCAUCCCAAAAGUAGCAAUAGAAAUUUGACGUCAAUCCAUCUGGCCCUGGGGAUUUAUUUAAAGCCAGUUUACGUACAGCAAUUAAAAAAAAAAAAAUGUGCAAACAAGACGAAUUUCCCUUAACAACUUACUUUCCUGGUCCAUUUUGUUCUUAAGUUCUUUGCUAAAUUGAAUAGAGAACUGUCUUAAACUUAAUGAAUUCCCAUUUGCCUGCGUUACUUUCCAGUGAGCUAUUAUUAAAAAUUUUCUUAAUUAUUUCCGUAAUCUUAAUGCAAUAUUCCUCAUUUUCCAACAAUUUGGCAUUAAAUUUCCAAUACCCCCUGUUCCGGCUUACCUUUUUUUUGGAUUCCAAUGCUAACUCAACAAAACAAUGAUCUGACAGGGGUGCUUUAGCCAUCUCAGAAUGAGAAAUAUUACUUUAAACAUUAUUAGUCCUAACCAAUAAUCAAUUCUAGAUUUGCACUCUGCAUUAGGUUUGAACCAAGAGUAACGCUUAACCCCUGGGUUGAGACUCCGCCAUAUAUCAGUUCAAUUGUUAUCGGCCAAAAAACUGUGAAAAGAAUGCAAUUUGGUGACUCUUCUCUAACCUUGGAGGCAUCCCAUGAUCCCACUCAUUUGGAGUCAUGUUCCAAUCUCCUCCCACUUAAACAUAGUAGGGUAUAAAACUUUCAAAUCAGAAAUUCUCUUUUCUAAAAGUUUCCUAUUCUGAGAUUCCCUAUUCCAUAUUCUGAGUAAAUAUUUGUCAAGAUAAAAAAAAAAACUACAUUUUUAACACCGCAGUUAACCAAUGACCUCCAUCUUUUUGUGGAACAAUUUCCCCUGGAAGUCUAUUAAAACAAAUGGCCACACUACCUGACCUGUUAGAGCCAUGGUUGAACAACAUCUGGUCUCCCCAUUGAUUUGUCGAAAAAGAUAAGUCCUCUUCUGUAGAAUGGGUCUCUUGUAAAAAAUAAACAAUUGACUUUUCGCACUUUACAAAUGAAAAAUAGUGCUUUCCUUUUCACAAUGUCCUUAAGUCCCCUCACAUUCAAUGAACCAAAAUAAAUUUUCCAUGAACAGCAAAUAAAACAAAUAUACAACAAAAUAUUAUUACAAAACAAACUAUAUAUG